rnacentral:rRNA from 1 species
CGGAUGAACGCUAGCGGCAGGCCUAAACAUGCAAGGUCGAGGGGCAGCACAAAUGAAGCUUGCUUUAUUGGUGGCGACCGGCGCACGGGUGAGUAACGCGUAUGCAACCUGCCCCGCACCGGGGGAUAGCCCGCCGAAAGGCGGAUUAAUACCCCAUGGUCCCGGGGGCCCGCAUGGGCAUCCGGGUAAAGCCUUGGCGGUGCGGGAUGGGCAUGCGUGCCAUUAGCUGGCUGGUGGGGUAACGGCCCACCAGGGCAACGAUGGCUAGGGGGUCUGAGAGGAUGGUCCCCCACACUGGUACUGAGACACGGACCAGACUCCUACGGGAGGCAGCAGUGAGGAAUAUUGGUCAAUGGGCGGAAGCCUGAACCAGCCAUGCCGCGUGCGGGAUGAAGGCCCUACGGGUUGUAAACCGCUUUUCCCCGGGAAGAAUAAGCCCCCCGCGGGGGGUGAUGCCGGUACCGGGGGAAUAAGGAUCGGCUAACUCCGUG